UUAAUUCUGGACCAAUCAACAUUUAGGGGUAAAAUAGUCAAAUUGUAUAAUUUAAUUAUAAUUUCUAUUUACUGAUUCAUUAAAUAGUCUUAACUGAAAUCCUAUAAUUAAGGAUUUUAACCCAUAUCAAGUUCUUCCUAGGGUUUAUUUGCUUUCCGUUUUUCUUCAUACAUCGACGAAUCGACAAGCACAGAAGGUUGAAGAACACAAUAUGUGAAGAUUGUCGACUGGAGACGCACGCUUGACGGGCUGAUUCCGAUUCACCUCCUUUGAUUAUCUACACUAUGUAGGAACUUGCCACCUGUAGUAAUCUUCUUAAGGGAUAUCUGACGCCUUUCACUCUUUAGGAACUACAUCUUCUUCAUUCCGCUCAAUCUUCUUCACUCUUCAGGAUCAAACAUGGAGAGGUAAAGAUAGAGGAAUGGGAAAACCAUCAAAAAGAAAAAUGAGAUUCUUCAAGAAUGAUGACAAAUUCUUCAAGAAUAAUGACAAAUUGUUAAAGAAUGUACUAUAUAUCAUGACUUUUUGUAAAUUCUUCAAAAAUGAUGAUAGAUUCUUGAAAAAUAUAGUAUAAAAGGUUGUGUACAUUCUUUUAAAUGUUGUAUAUUUUCUUGUUUUAUGUCAUUUAUUCCCUUUCUUAA